rnacentral:tRNA from 1 species
GGUGGCUCAGUGGUAGAGUGCUUGCCUUACAUUCAGGAGGUCCUGGGUUCGAUUCCUCAGCACCA